UUUGACACGUGCCUCGUUUUAACCGUACGCACUGGGCUAUGUAAUGAGAGGCGGCUGUAUGAACGGCUGAUUGUCUCCCAAAGUUGAUGUAUUCUUCUGGGAGGGCAGGAGGUGAAGAUCCCAUUGCUGUUACACCUGAGGCAGCUGGUUAAACCCCUUCAGCUGUGGAAGUUACGACGCCUCCUCCUCUGACAGGAGCAAACUCCUGAUUGAGCUGCACUUUUGUGUGCCAUCAUUAUCGUUAAGUAAGCUGCUGUCUCCCUGCCUAAUGAAGACUGAGAUCAUUCAAGCAGGACAUUAUGAAUAAGCAGGAUGCAGGAAGUGCUGACUGAAGAGAUGAGUUUUCUGCUGAAUAUUGAAAAAUGUUCUCGAUUUGGUGUUCUGGAUAAGGUUGGGAUGAUCACUCCUCCAACAGGUCUGCUGAUAUAAAGAAAUACUGAACAGAUACAGUCCUGAGACCCUGGCCCUGUUUUGUUUACACCUGUUCCUGGUUUUUAACACCGCAUGACAGGCAUCCCGCCAGGAAAUUAGCUAAAGAUAAACACCUCAGCAAGCAGAUGCCUGCUGGGGGAAAAAAGUGUGGAAGGUGGAAAACAGUAUAAGAUUUUCAAGUCAUUUCAGCAGCUAUGAGAUUUACAUCCCCAGAAAGAUCCAGGUAUUUCUUCAACUAUGACCACGUUUGGCCAUGUAGAAAAACUCAUAAAAUGCUGCUUGCACUCUAUCACCAGUAUAAAUUAUGUGGACAAACAUGGAUCAUGAGAGAAUUUUUUAUUUUACUUUUAUUUUAUUUUACUACAUCUUUAAUAGCACUCUGUAAUUAAAAUCACAGUGGAAAUUACUUAUACUAAAUCAAAUGGAUGUCUCUUAAUUAAUUAGCUGUCACACCUCUUUAGUUGUGCUUUCUUCCUUAUGUGCUCUGUGUGACCUAAUUUUCCCUCAUGUCUGAUUAUUGUCAUUUUGGCUCAGGUGUGUGCCAUUAAUUACCCUCAUCAGCCAUCCUAUUUAAGUUGUAUCCAGUUCAC